rnacentral:lncRNA from 1 species
CCAAGCAUCUAACACUUUGUUUCUUUAGGUAAAAUCUAGUAUGAAUACAGCUCUUUCUCACUGAAGAAUGUUUAUAUAAAUAAAGCAAAACUAUUCAUGUUUUAUAAAUACACACAUAUAUAACCUAGGAGCCAACUGGCAGUUAAUGCCUAGCUUUGAGAUGUAUAUGAGGCCCUAUUUGAACAUAGAGGGAAAGUUGGAAAUAUGGACAUUAAGAAAGGAGGAUCUUCCUAAACUAAGACUUAUUUUCCUGUUGCUACUUUGUGUCUAGCUUUUCUAAUUAUUUCUGGCAUCAGCAAUCUCUUUUUCUUUAGAAUAUGUGAAUUUUCAUUCAUUAUUUCAUCUGAAGUAACUCUGAGUUAUUUGGCCAUAAAGGGCUUUAGGAAUUCAAUAUUAAAACAUGGAAUUAAAGUCAAGAGAGUAAGCUCUGAGAGCUUACGAGAUUUCUGGAAUUUUUCUUACAUACAAAAAAUACUCAUCACCCAUUGAUACUUAGCACUGAUAACAUCAAAGACAAAAAAAGUCUGAGACUUAAGGAUGGAAAAGAGGGGGAAAGGUGAGAAAAGCGCAUUGUCUUUUGCAGGUGGUCUGGGAAAGAAGGGAGAAAAUCAGCAACAACUCUGGGAAGGAGAGAAAUACAAACAGAACUUCUAGGAUUAACUAACCAGUAAAUUGUUUUAAAAGAGUAUAAGUAACAAAUAGCCUAUAUCCCAGAUAUGGACCCAAGUAGUUGAAUUCACAGACACUUGUGUUUCAGACCUCUAUGGUCGUGGCUCAAUCCAGCCCAUGGCACCCUUUACUUCCACUUAACUGGUUUUUGCAGCUCUAAAAGCAAUAUUAGACAGA